rnacentral:tRNA from 2 species
GGUGGCGUAGCUCAGCUGGUUAGAGCGUAGCACUCAUAACGCUAAGGUCGGUGGUUCAAGCCCACCCGCCACCACCA